rnacentral:rRNA from 1 species
UGGGGAAUAUUGCACAAUGGGCGCAAGCCUGAUGCAGCCAUGCCGCGUGUAUGAAGAAGGCCUUCGGGUUGUAAAGUACUUUCAGUCGGGAGGAAGGUGGUAAGGUUAAUAACCUUAUCAAUUGACGUUACCGACAGAGGAAGCACCGGCUAACUCCGUGCCAGCAGCCGCGGUAAUACGGAGGGUGCAAGCGUUAAUCGGAAUUACUGGGCGUAAAGCGCACGCAGGCGGUUGAUUGAGUCAGAUGUGAAAUCCCCGGGCUUAACCCGGGAAUUGCAUCUGAUACUGGUCAGCUAGAGUCUUGUAGAGGGGGGUAGAAUUCCAUGUGUAGCGGUGAAAUGCGUAGAGAUGUGGAGGAAUACCGGUGGCGAAGGCGGCCCCCUGGACAAAGACUGACGCUCAGGUGCGAAAGCGUGGGGAGCAAACAGG